AUUGAACGCUGGCGGCAUGCCUUACACAUGCAAGUCGAACGGUAACAGGUCUUCGGACGCUGACGAGUGGCGAACGGGUGAGUAAUACAUCGGAACGUGCCCAGUCGUGGGGGAUAACUACUCGAAAGAGUAGCUAAUACCGCAUACGAUCUGAGGAUGAAAGCGGGGGACCUUCGGGCCUCGCGCGAUUGGAGCGGCCGAUGGCAGAUUAGGUAGUUGGUGGGAUAAAAGCUUACCAAGCCGACGAUCUGUAGCUGGUCUGAGAGGACGACCAGCCACACUGGGACUGAGACACGGCCCAGACUCCUACGGGAGGCAGCAGUGGGGAAUUUUGGACAAUGGGCGAAAGCCUGAUCCAGCAAUGCCGCGUGCAGGAUGAAGGCCUUCGGGUUGUAAACUGCUUUUGUACGGAACGAAAAAGCUCCUUCUAAUACAGGGGGCCCAUGACGGUACCGUAAGAAUAAGCACCGGCUAACUACGUGCCAGCAGCCGCGGUAAUACGUAGGGUGCGAGCGUUAAUCGGAAUUACUGGGCGUAAAGCGUGCGCAGGCGGUUAAGUAAGACAGAUGUGAAAUCCCCGGGCUCAACCUGGGAACUGCAUUUGUGACUGCAUGGCUAGAGUACGGUAGAGGGGGAUGGAAUUCCGCGUGUAGCAGUGAAAUGCGUAGAUAUGCGGAGGAACACCGAUGGCGAAGGCAAUCCCCUGGACCUGUACUGACGCUCAUGCACGAAAGCGUGGGGAGCAAACA
rnacentral:rRNA from 1 species